rnacentral:rRNA from 1 species
AACGAACGCUGGCGGCGCGCUUAACACGUGCAAGUCGAACGAGAAGGCGUAGCAAUACGCUUGUACAGUGGCGAACGGGUGAGUAAUACGUGGGCGACCUACCCUCGAGUGGGGAAUAACCCGCCGAAAGGCGGGCUAAUGCCGCGUACGCUUCCAUCUUUAUGGAGGUGGAAGGAAAGCCGUGCCGUGGGCACGGCGCUCAAGGAUGGGCUCACGUCCUAUCAGCUUGUUGGUAGGGAACGGCCUACCAAGGCUCCGACGGGUAGCUGGUCUGAGAGGACGAUCAGCCACACUGGCACUGCGACACGGGCCAGACUCCUACGGGAGGCAGCAGUGAGGAAUAUUGCGCAAUGGGCAAAAGCCUGACGCAGCGACGCCGCGUGGGGGA